UUGGUUUGUUACCGGUGGUUGGCUCUCUGCUUUUGCAACAACUUCCACCUGGCAUUCCGCCUCAUUUAUGCGUCAAGGAUUCAUUUCCUUGAGCGCUUACGGUUUCUUGUGUUGCCUACCUACGUGACGGUAUUGUUUGAUUACAUCGUAGUUGUGCUUCAUCAUGGGUCAUUUCUAUGGCGUAGGAUGAACCUCUAAGCAGCUUCUAUGAUCCAUUUCCUCGAUGCGCAUGCAUUGAUGUCGUGGCUCCUUGAGUUUUGCUUGGUUUUUUGGAUACGGAACAUGAUAUGGGUGUCGGUCUUAAUUGAUCCUUGUUUUGCCCUUGUUGAACAUUGUUAUUACUCCGAGACGACUCUUAUCCCGAAUUGGCUCGUACCACCGGGGUAGGUUGUGUUGUUAAAGAGCAAUAAUAGUGUUCUUGCUUCUCCAAAAUAGACAGCCUCACCUUGAUUGGCUCGUUCCAGCGGGUGGGCUAUGUCGAAGAGGGAUGCUACCUGGUUGAUCCUGCCAGUAGUCAUAUGCUUGUCUCAA
rnacentral:misc_RNA from 1 species